rnacentral:rRNA from 1 species
AAUUAUCGUAAACUUUUUGCUCAUUAUUAGAAUAACGAUCUUUUAAUGAGAAGCUCCGACUAACUUCGUGCCAGCAGUCGCGGUAAAACGGGGGGAGCUAGCGUUACUCGUAAUAAUUGGGCGUAAAGGGUACGUAGGCGGUUUUGAUUGAUAUGUGAUUUUAAAGAGAACGGGUUCAACCUUUCGAAAACACAUCUGAUUAUAAAACUAGAGUUUAGUGGAGGAUUGUUGAACUGCUAGUUUAAAGUUAAAAUUUGUUAGAUUAGUCGGGCAACCUGCGGUGUAAACUACUUUCCAUAGUAAAACUGACGUUCAUGUACAAAAGUAUGGGGAUUAAAUAGGAUUAGAGACCCUAGUAGUCCAUACCCUGACCUAUGAGUGUUAAAUGGGAGAUAAAAUUAUUAACAUCUUCGUGUUUCAGCUAACGCGGAAACACUCCGCCUG